rnacentral:lncRNA from 1 species
UCCUCUGGUUGCGGUGGCUUCCCGGUGCAAUGGCAAAUUCCAAACCUAAAAAGAGGGGUCUGUGGCUGAAGGCGACAUGGCAAAGGGAGGAGAGGAGGAACGUCCUGCGCAAGUGGCAUGCCCCCUACCACCGAAUGGUACGAACGGUCUGGAGUUGAUACGGCACGGGAUCUGCUGUCCAUUCGGCAGGACCAGCUGGCUGUCCAGCGAGAACUGCUGGCCACACAGCAGGGUCUGCUGGCCACCCAGCAGCAGCAGCUGGCAGUUCAGCAGGAAAUGCUGCUCGUGCAGAGAGAGGCAGUCGAUGCACUCCGUCGACUUGCAAGCGCUGUAGAGGGACAAGCAGCAGCAAGUGCGCACCAGUCGUCCGCACUGACUUCGCUAGUG